rnacentral:snRNA from 1 species
GUGCUCACUUCGGCAGCACAUAUACUAAA